GGGUAACCUGUCCCUUCUCCAGGGGAUCUUCCUGACACAGGGAUCCAACUGGGGUCUCCUGCAUUGCAGGUGGAUUCUUACCAGCUGAGUUACCAGGAAAGUCCAUAUAAUAUGUUAUACACACACACACACACACACACACACACUGCUAGAAUGAGUAAGCUGUCCCUUCUCCAGGGGAUCUUCCCGACACAGGGAUCCAACUGGGGUCUCCUGCAUUGCAGGUGGAUUCUUACAAGCUGAGUUACCAGGAAAGUCCAUAUAAUAUGUUACACACACACACACACACACACACACGUGUGUGUGUAUAUAUCCUGCAUAUAUCUGUAGAAUCCUGAGAUUCUAAAAGCAUAUAAAAGCAUUCCUAAAGCAUACAAUGAAGAACCAAUUCUAUUGUAAUCAUCUGCAUCACUUUUGUGGGAUCUUGUCAUCUUAUCAGAUUUAGCAGAUGCAUCCUUAACUCGGUUAUAAUAUUCUAAAAGGAAUGUUCAUUCAUGCUCAAAGAAAUCAUCUACAUCCUUUACUCCAGAAACAAUUACUCCAUCUGCUGAUUUAACCAUGUUUUUAAAGAAAUCUUCUAGUUUCUCUUUUUUAUUUUUUCCUCGCACACUCAAAUCUUGAUUAUAUUCCAGGAAGACAUGGAAAUUUAAAUCUUUCCUCAAAAUGGGAUGUGCAGCCACACGACACAGAAACACUUCAUGCAUUGCAACCGUCUUCUUGAAUAUUGCCAAAUACUCAAAUGUAACCUGCAUAGUCUUCAUUUUCAAUGAAGGAAUCGUGAAGCCAGAUAAAUUCCUCAUGUUGUCGAACAGCAGAAAACUCAUUCUGUUUAAAAUUUAGAAAUGAACUCUUUGUGUGAACAGUGAAUUUUACUUUGUCUCUCUCACUCAGAGUAUCAGAAAUGUCCACGUGCAGAGCAGCAUCACUCUGAAAAUCUACAUUUAUUGCUUUAAGUCCAUGGUCCUCCUCCAAGAGGAAGUCGGGGCCGUUGUCCAGGCCUUCCAUCAUGGCUGCUCCGAGGCGAGGGCCAGCGCAGGCACAUAUGUGUGUGUGUGUGUGUGUGUGUGUAUGCUAAGUCUCUUGUCAUGUCCUCC
rnacentral:lncRNA from 1 species